rnacentral:lncRNA from 1 species
GUCUUGUUACUGACUAUUUUUCAUAUUUGACAACAACAACACCAACAACACCUUGUUGCAAAAAAAAAUGUCGUUCUCCUUAAUCUUUUACAUUUUUCCAAAAAUAGUAUAAAGUGUCCUUAUCAUAAUGAUCCCUUCCUUUUUUAUAUAUCUAAUAAUUUUUUUUUUUAUUUGUUUUAAAAUUUCAAACCUACUGCCUAUCCUAUUUAUACAUUUCAAUACGGCUCAGCGUUAGGGUAUAAAUUGAAAUCUGAUUUUAAAACUGAACUAACAUCUUAAAAACUAAAACAAUUAAAAAAAAAUCUAUGCCUACUUAUGAACAAACUGACACAUCGUUAAGAUUCUUUCUUCAACUCCUUAAUUAAUUAUUUCCUUAUUCUUAUCUUAAUUUCUAAUAAUAAUCCUCAUAUUAAAGUGUUCAUGAAAAAUUUCAAUUUUACUGUAAAGCUAGUUUUCCUUUAAU